UAAAAUUGUAAUGAUCAUUUUUGAAAAUUUCAGGAUAAAGCUCCACUCUUCUAGAUUUAUGGUGAUGCCAGGCCCUGACAACACACUAGAUCCACUGAAGUGUCACAGCAACGUCAGAAUAAUUCAGCGGUAGCAUAAAAGAGGGCAUGCAAAUGAAGAAGAAGAACAAAAAAGAGAGAAAGAGGCGAGCAAAACAACACAAAGUAAUAAAAUAACAGAUUUUAUCUUUGAAAUAUCACAAUGACAUCUCAUCCCUCCUUUAACUGUGCUGUUUGAACUCUAAACCUGCACGGAUUUUUUUUUUCUUCCUUCACAUUCGCCUGGCACUUGGUCCUAUGAAUUACUCUGAAUUUUUAUAAGCGUGUAAUGCAAUAUUAAUCAAGGUUUUUGCCGCUAUAAGAUGCAAUACUUUCAGUCGGCAUUCGGGGUUUUCAGAGGAAGUGGGCAUGUGGAGGACGUCGCUUGUAUAACAGCAGCGAAAGCUUCUCGUUUUUGUUUUCUGUAGAUUUUUUUUGGGCCAAAUUGGACAGAAGAGGAUGCGGCUCGUCAAAUACGGACAGUCAGCCACACAGCACCGUUGGCACUGAACACUCUCCACCAGCAGCACCACACGCGCCACAUGGCACCAUCAUUUCAGCACCACGAACAGCUCCGCUGGCGGACUGAAGAGUGAUGCAUUAUUGAAAGCCUAUAUCAAACAGCUCUGGGGUGCUGUCUCUCUGCACAAGGGGCUGUGGAUGAAGUCGGACUGUCUGCCUUCACAAUAGCCUCUAAUAUGUUAAUGGCCGUAGGGGAUGCCCGAGGUACCGUCCCCAGCUGCCUCGCCUACCAUAUGUCAGGCCGUUACGACAGAGCCCUCUAUUAAUCAGUUGGGGAUAUUUCAUCGAUGGUCCUCGCCGAUAUCAUAACCCUUAAAGCCCCAUCAAUACUGCGCCGCAUCGUCACCUGAUCUCAGUGGAAGGCCCAAGCUUGCCGUCUUCCAGCGCCGCAGGGCAUGGAGCUAGCCAGCGAGACUCAACAAAAAUGAGUGAACAUCGGGAACCGGAAGUGAAUCCUUGAGAUUGGACUUCAUAACGGCUCGGAGCAAAAAGCCAUUGUUGCUCUGAAAAACAAGAUGGAUGUUUGGACUGUUGUGGGCAGCUGUACCUUAUGCUGCCUACAAAGCCAUUUUAGAAGCCGUGCCCCGAGUCCGUCUUUUAAAAUGGAGUUCUUAUCUUGCCCGAGUGUUCUGGUUUGGGGAGGUUUGGUGUCCAUCUCCAGGGACGGUGGGAGGCAGGACCCGCCCUGGACAGGGUCACCACUCCACGACAGUGCUGGUCCAGACAUAUCUUAUGAGAAAAAAGUCAAGGAUCUCUUCAUUUAAUUCAAUGCUAACUCAAAAAUAACCUACGGAACAUCAUAUCAUUACCAAAGCCCAGGAGCUUAACAUGAGGAGUCAAUGUUGGAUAGAAAAUAAUUUCUGCUGUGUGUUUUCUUCCCUUGUUCUGUUUUUUCAUAAGUACUUGGAAAAAAUUGCUGUGAACAUUACAAGAUCAAAGAAACUCACAUCUCUCUAAAAAUUGCCAUGGGUGCAACUGAAAUUAUUCAGUGUGAUCCACUAAAUUAUUUCAAAUAAAUCUUUCCACAGUAAAAAAAAGAAUCCAAAGCAUCAAACGUCAGACUGCUGUUAUUACAUUCACUCCACUCCAGAAUCAGUGGAUCAAGGAUGAAUUCUGCAUCAUAUCAAAGACUGAUUGAAGGUGUAUGUAAGAUAUCCAGCUGAAAGUUGAAUGCCCAUGAUUUUUAUUGUGUUUUUAAUAAUCAGCACAAUACUAAAUAAUGUAAGAGAAAAAAAAAAGCUUCACAGGUUUCUGCAGUGGCCCUUUGGAAACACAGAUUUGGAUCCCAUUUGUGAACAUUACAUGUUAGGAAAAACCCUGUUUGGUGUCUUCUUGGAACUAAAGAAAAUAAGUACAGAUGAGUGAUAGGAAACCGCCCUCAGGAAGUGGCAGAAAAUGUAACAAAACAAAUGCAGAAAUCAAGGAGAGAAAACAAUUUUUGAAUUAUCAUUCAUGUGCACACUGUAUGAAAGUAGUUCAAAUAUAUUUUUAAUCGCAUUGUGUUAAAAAGAGUGAUCGGUUUUUGUAAUGUUUUUUUAUAGUGUUUGUGUGUAAAAAAAAAAAUGCAAUGAAUUAUCAUACAUCAUGCUGUCCUAGAAAGUCUCAAAAGACUUCAAACUGAAUGGGGGAAUAUACAUACAAAUUAUGCUUCCAGUUUUCAGAGCUGACAUGAAUAUUUGUUGGCCUGUUAAAGAUGUUGAGGAGUUUUAAUUAUUAAAUUUCUCUUACAUAGAGGCUUCAAAAUGCCAGGGCAGCUGCAGCAUCAGCAUUGUUUGGGG